UACGUAGGGUGCGAGCGUUGCCCGGAUUUAUUGGGCGUAAAGGGCGCGUAGGCGGCCACGCACGUCCGUUGUGAAAUCGCCCGGCUCAACUGGGCGGGGUCAGCGGAUACGGUGUGGCUCGAGCAAGCUAGGGGGCAAUGGAAUUCCCGGUGUAGUGGUGGGAAUGCGUAGAUAUCGGGAGGAACACCAGUGGCGAAGGCGGUUGCCUGGAGCUUUGCUGACGCUGAGGCGCGAAAGCGUGGGGAGCGAUCCGG
rnacentral:rRNA from 1 species